rnacentral:rRNA from 1 species
GGAGUCUGGACCGUGUCUCAGUUCCAAUGUGGCUGAUCGUCCUCUCAGACCAGCUAUAGAUCGUCGGCUAGGUAGGCCAUUACCCCACCUACUACCUAAUCUUCCGCGGGCCAAUCUUUCGGCAAUAAAUCUUUCCCCCUCAGGGCUUAUGCGGUAUUAUCACCCGUUUCCAGAUGUUAUCCCCCACCAAAAGGUAUGUUCCCAUAUGUUCCUCACCCGUCCGCUACUGCUGUAUUGCUACAACCGUUCAACUUGCAUGUUUUAGGCCUGCCGCCAGCGCUCGUU